rnacentral:rRNA from 1 species
CCUACGUGGUGCAGCAGUGGGGAAUAUUGGACAAUGGGCGAAAGCCUGAUCCAGCCAUGCCGCGUGUGUGAAGAAGGCCUUCGGGUUGUAAAGCACUUUCAGUGGGGAAGAAAGCCUUGGGGCUAAUACCCUCGAGGAAGGACAUCACCCACAGAAGAAGCACCGGCUAACUCCGUGCCAGCAGCCGCGGUAAUACGGAGGGUGCGAGCGUUAAUCGGAAUUACUGGGCGUAAAGCGCGCGUAGGCGGUCUGAUAAGCCGGUUGUGAAAGCCCCGGGCUCAACCUGGGAACGGCAUCCGGAACUGUCAGGCUAGAGUGCAGGAGAGGAAGGUAGAAUUCCCGGUGUAGCGGUGAAAUGCGUAGAGAUCGGGAGGAAUACCAGUGGCGAAGGCGGCCUUCUGGACUGACACUGACGCUGAGGUGCGAAAGCGUGGGUAGCAAACAGGAUUAGAUACCCGAGUAGUC